AAGCCUUCCAGAAACUUACAGCCUCUCUAUAUAUACAAUAUUAUAGAGCCAUUAGCGUUUAUAUCUUUCGUUUAAUCUGUCUUCUUCGUUGUUAUUCUGUUACGCACACACAAACACAUAUAUUGUUUUUGCACAGAUGGGUUAACAUGUUACACACAACAUCGACUCAUUCAGGCCACUGCAUGCAUAAUGAACCAAAACAAACGAACCAAAAUUAAGGUUUAUUCAAAAUGAUUUACGAAGACAAACAAGACAGGGAGCAACAUAAAGCUCCUAAUUAAUCAUCCAGUAAUCCAACAUAUUUACUUAAUUUUGAUCAUUACCAUCUUCAUAAUCCUCACUUCUCUCCUCUCUAAUUGUCGCCAAUUUAGGCAUGCAAGAGGGCUUCACCGGUGAGAUUAUCCGCAAGGGUGCUACCUCCAUCCAAGGCUUAGCUUGCAUCCCCUUCUUAACCACUGCCAUUAUCAAAUUAGUAAGAGAUUAUGAAUGUGGUAACCAAUCUAGAGCCUUAAUCUCGAUCUCUUUGGCAAAUUAAUGAGAAAGAGAGUUGUAUAAUGACACCCUUUGGACCAAUAUGUACAAGAGGUUAUGUACG
rnacentral:lncRNA from 1 species